rnacentral:lncRNA from 1 species
GUCAUUCUGCUCUGGGUUCAGACGUGCACUGCAGCAGCACCGGGACUUGACAGCCCUACGGCUCGAUCAGCUUUCUGUUUUCAUUGCCUUACGAUGCCAUGAGUGGAACUAUUGUCAAAUCAGAGUUCACUCCCCAGCUUUUCAGUCUUUCCCCUAAUUCUUGCUCUAUCAGAGGUCGAGGACAACAGUAUAAUGAUUCAUAGGUUCUACUUCCUGGCAAGUAAUCAUUUUCCCACGGGCCCUUGUGAAUUGAUGAAUAUGAAGACACUAAGAAAGCAGAAAUAGAACUGAGAAGAAUGAAAUAACUGUCUCUACCUUUCUCGAAUUGUCUAAUAUGGAAAGAAUGAAAGACAGCUAAUAAGCAACUCUCUGCAAGAAGACAUAUGGCUUAGGUUCUGCUGAGCUAUUGGUGAUUUGAUUCCAUGCAUAUGUAUUCACUACUGGUAUAAAAUCUACUUGGAGAGAGUCAAACACAGAAUCCCUUUGAAUUUAAUGGCCAUUCCAGGUGAUUUGAACAGCCAAAUAAGAAACAGGUCCUCUUCAAUGUACAAUCUGCCAAGUAUGAAGUCUGAAUGACCAUCAUUAUUAUGUAUUUAAUGUGCAUAGAAAAUCUAUCUGCAACCUUCCAGAGUGUACCAGAAGUUUGGAAUGUACAUUAUUAUUGGCUCCAUCUCAAACCACUCAUAAAUCAAAGAAAAUAGCAGUUCCAGAGGAAUCAUCAUAGAGGCUUCUAGGCCCCCAUGCUGUGUGAACCUGGUGAGAAAGGGAAGUCUGCUCUCACUGGACACUGGAACUGUUUGUCUCUGUCUCUGCUGUACUUUCCCUGCCUCUACCUCACUUAGUAAAGAAAUCAUCUUUGCUUGAUAACUAAAACAACCAAUAAGGCUGAGAAAGGGGAAAACCCACAUCUGGAUUUAAAUACAAGGUAUUGGGCCAGCUGCUGGGGAUUAAACUUUGAACAAAACAGAUAGAAUCUAUGUCCUCAUGGGAGUGGCUAAUGGGAGAGUCGGAACAAAAAAAUAGCCAAGGAUAAUCCAGCAAAUGAUUUGGUGAAUGCUAUCAAAGAGAGAAAUACACAUGCUCUGGGAACACCAAGAAUAAACGAGAGAAAGGGACAUUAAUAUAUAUUGAAUAUCUGCUGUGUCAGGCACCUUACAUAUAUUGAUUGCUUCUUCACUUCUUUUAAUCUUUACUACACCACAUGAGGCUGUCAUAGAGAUUCUGAGAACAAAUUGUCUAAUUGAGAAACUGCUGAGCAUUGGAAAUGAGCUUGCCAGGGGAACAGAGGGAUACCUGAAUAGCGAAUGCAAGGCAGUUCAAAACUCAAACUCAGGCCACUGGAUUUGCUGCCCACUGCUCCUUGUAUGAUCGCCCUUGGGCACCACAUCCAUGUAGAGUCUUCUUCUAAGAGGCAAGGAAGGUCAAAGCUGAAACCACACAUCCCAGAUUAUGAUUGAGGUGUUUUUAUAGAACUUGUUUAUUUACAGCGUCUAUACUAAAACUUAUUUUUGGAAGCUGUAGUCAAAUAAUGUUUCUUAAGUGCCUUCACAGGAUAGACCAGCAAUAGAUGCUGUGGAAGAAGUGCAUGAUGUAGCUCCUGACCUCAAGACACUUUUCCACUGGAUACGGAUACAGGGCAUAUCUCCAGGGAGAUCAUUCAGGAUAAUGCCCAGUCAUCAGCAGGCAGUGCCAUAUGAAUGCAUAGCAAGUUAUGCUCCAGGAAGCAGAGGAAGCAGAGCACAUGAGGAAUGGGCUUCUAUGUGUAGCUGGAGUCUCACCUGGGUUUUGAAUUCAUAAAUAGUGUUCAAGGAGGAAGCAGGGAGGGUAUAGCUCUUGAUAGGAAGUGAUGGGAUGGCGAUACGAAUAUAUGUUCCUUGUUUGAAAUACCACAUGAAGGGCAUGUGGCUGUGAAACCAACUUUGCAAAGAUGAUGACAGUGAGAGAAAUCUAGCAUGGCUGACUCCAUCUUGCUUCUAGCCUCGCAGGCUGGCUACCCUCACUCACUCUUGGGCAUAGGCCCAGCUAACCAUGGGAGUCAUUUGAUUUAUAGAUUAACUUUGAAACAAGAAUGAUAAGAGUCUCUCCCUAAAACUGACCCCUUCCUUGUUCAGGAGCUGAAACUGCCUUUGUAAGACUAAUGAAAGGCCACAAGAUUAGGAUUAUGGGAGAGGCCUGGAUUCUGCUAAAAUGUAGGUGUAGUAAAUGAUAAACAGACAUUGAUCUCCAGUUGGCUUUUCUAUAAUCCCUUCCUGCUCCGGGGUCAGGUGGCCAGAGGCACAAGAUUUGUGGCUUCCGCAAAUUCUCCUGUAGGUAACAUCACUAUUGUAGAAUUUGAGAUUGGUCUUUUGAGAUGUUUUUCAGGCUUUUGCAUUCUGGCAACUCACUGACCCCAUGACUCAUGACUCAACCUGUUCUGUGGCCCCCACACAGAGGCUAGUUCAGUGCACAAGAACCAUUUUCCACACCCCUAUGUUGUCAUUCCCAACCAAUCAGCAACACCCACCCCUGAGCUCCCUGCCUGCCCAAUUAUCCAUAAAACUCUAGCCUCUGAGUUCUUGGGAUGGCUGAUUUGAGCAAUUAUUCCCAUCCUUCCAUUCAACUAGCCCUGCCAUUAUUAAACUCUUUCUCUACUGCAAUACAUCUGUCUCAGUGAACUGAUUUUAUCUGUGCAGUGGGCAACAAUUAGCCAUUGGGUGAUUAUAGCUGGAAAAGUGCCUACCUUGUGGCAGUUAAACAUGAGGUUUGGAGGGAGACUACCUACAUCUAACCACCACUGACCACCAUUGUAGUUGAGGUUCUGGUCAACUUAUUAACCCUUUGUGCGCACAUGUGCAUGCGUGCACACACACAGACACACACAGACACAUUUUCUCAUGUGUGAAAUGGGGACCAUAAUGUUGGAUCUCCCAGUGUUGCAGGAAGGACUCAUUGUAACAGAACAUGAAAAUAUUUAAUGUGCUGCCUAAUGUAUAACAGACACUGAAUAAAAUAACCACUGUUUUCAUUAGUAAUGGUCUUAGAUACCUAGCUAAGGCAAAAAUUUACUCGAUUUCCUGUCCCUCAUCUUUCAAACUUACUUGGGUUUGUAACCAUCCUUGCUUCCUUCCCCUCUUUUCAAAGUGUUAUUUCCUUUCAAAGUUAAUCCUUUCACUUGAUUCUCAUUCCAUCACGUAUUGUCUUCCUUC